rnacentral:lncRNA from 12 species
UUCAUUCCCUUUGUUUUCUUUCUAUUUCUUUGAGUCUUCAUCUGUUCCUUGUUUUAAUCUAUUAGAUUGAACUUCAAGGGGCUUUAAAUAGAGCUUUUCUCAUUUAGCCUUGCAGGAACCUUCCAAGAAUAUUUCUGCACUGAAGCCUCUGUGAUAACUGCAGAUUCAUGUCAGCUGAGAUGUAUCAGUAAGAGAUUUUUCCAAGAUCCAUCUCUGACCAAGAGAAGAUCAGCUGUCUUGUACGUGCAAGAGAGACCAGAAGCUCGUGGAAGCACUGAGCAUUCUAGCAUGUACCUAGGAAAUUAUAUUAAGGUAAGUACAUCACAUGCAGAGAGGGGAGACAAAGUUUAGAAUUCUGAUUACUGGG